GAUGAACGCUGGCGGCGUGCCUAAUACAUGCAAGUCGAGCGAAUGGAUUAAGAGCUUGCUCUUAUGAAGUUAGCGGCGGACGGGUGAGUAACACGUGGGUAACCUGCCCAUAAGACUGGGAUAACUCCGGGAAACCGGGGCUAAUACCGGAUAACAUUUUGAACCGCAUGGUUCGAAAUUGAAAGGCGGCUUCGGCUGUCACUUAUGGAUGGACCCGCGUCGCAUUAGCUAGUUGGUGAGGUAACGGCUCACCAAGGCAACGAUGCGUAGCCGACCGGAGAGGAGGAUCGGCCAUGAUGCGACUGAGACAGGGCCAAGAACGCUCCGGGAGGCAGCAGUAGGGAAUAGUACGGAAUGGACGAAAGUCUGACGGAGCAUCACCGCGUGAGUGAUGAAGGCUUUCGGGUCGUAUAACUCUGUAGUUAGGGAAGAACAGGUGCUAGUUGAAUAAGCUGGAAUCUUGACGGUACCUGACCAGAAAGCAACGGCUAACUACGUGUAAGCAGCCGCCGCGG
rnacentral:rRNA from 1 species